rnacentral:rRNA from 1 species
UCCGUAGGUGGAUAAUUAAGUCAGAGGUGAAAUCCUGCAGCUCAACUGUAGAAUUGCCUUUGAAACUGGUUAUCUUGAGUCAUUAUGAAGUGGUUAGAAUGUGUAGUGUAGCGGUGAAAUGCAUAGAUAUUACACAGAAUACCGAUUGCGAAGGCAGAUCACUAAUAAUGUACUGACACUGAUGGACGAAAGCGUGGGUAGCGAACAGGAUUAGAUACCCUGGUAGUC